ensembl:lncRNA
AUUAUGGGAUUGGGGGGUUAUUAUGGGAUGGGUGGGGUUAUUGGAUAAGGUAUUAUGGGAUGGGGGGGUUAUUGUGGGGUAUUAUGGGAUGGGGGGGUUAUUGUGGGGGUUAUUAUGGGAUGGGGGGGGUUAUUAUGGGAUGUGAGGCGUUAUUGUGGGGUUAUUAUGGGGGUAUUAUGGGAUGGGGGGGUCAUUGUGGGGUUAUUAUGGGAUGUGAGGGGUUAUUAUGGGGUUAUUAUGGGAUGUGAGGGGUUAUUAUGGGGUUAUUGUGGGAUGGGUGGGGUUAUUAUGGGAUGGGGGGGUUAUUAUGGGGUUAUUAUGGGAUGGGGGGGUUAUUGUGGGGGUAUUAUGGGAUGGGUGGGGUUAUUGUGGGGUUACUAUGGGAUGUGAGGGGUUAUUAUGGGGUUAUUGUGGGAUGGGGGGUUAUUAUGGGAUGUGUGAGGGGUUAUUAUGGGAUGGGUGGGGUUAUUGUGGGGGUAUUAUGGGAUGUGAGGGGUUAUUAUGGGAUGGGGGGGUUAUUGUGGGGUAUUAUGGGAUGGGGGGGUUAUUGUGAGGGUAUUAUGGGAUGGGGUUAUUGCGGGGGUAUUAUGGGAUGGGGGGGGUUAUUGCGGGGGUAUUAUGGGAUGUGGGGGUUUUUGG